AUGGCGGUUCAAAAAAGGAAGGAAGUCAGCUUCCCUCACGCCAAGCUUCACAGUCACCCCAAGGAGUGGAACCAAACUUGGUUUUACUGCAAAGAUACAUCUCCAACUGUCGAAAACCCCUUGCCGGGUUACCGGCCUCACCGUCUUAGCAAUACACAUCCCUUUCCUCAGAGGUUGACUGCAAAGGAAAGGUCCAACUAUGCCCCACAACUGUCAAAGCUUAGAGCCUUCAUGGCGAACGGUUUAACACGUGUUGACUUUGCUCGUUGUUGGAUAAGCUGGAGUAUUCUGCCCUUAAGCCGGCGCCCCGGUUUGAUGUGUGAAUACACAGGGAGUUUGAAGGACCCUUAG
rnacentral:rRNA from 1 species